rnacentral:rRNA from 1 species
UACGUAGGGGGCAAGCGUUGUCCGGAAUCAUUGGGCGUAAAGCGCGUGUAGGCGGCCCGAUAAGUCCGCCGUGAAAUCCCAGGGCUCAACCCUGGGAUGCCGGUGGAAACUGUCGGGCUAGAGUCCGGAAGAGGCGAGUGGAAUUCCUGGUGUAGCGGUGAAAUGCGCAGAUAUCAGGAGGGACCGCAAUGGCGAAGGCAGCUCGAUGGGAAGGUUACUGACGCUGAGACGCGAAAGCGUGGGGAGCAAACAGG